rnacentral:misc_RNA from 1 species
CCAAAGAUCCUUCUACCUCUCCACUUUCUAUGUAUUCAAAGCUUUCACUGUCAGCUUUGCUUUGGCCUAAUUCAUACUGAUCUUCUUCGGCGGUAUCCUCAGAACAAUAUUCAUUGAUGUUGACAUUUUGUCCAAUAUCUUAUUAUAUUUCUUGAAUUUACUCAUGAUUGUUAGAAAAGGGGGAUUGUUCAAAAUAAGAAAAUACUGUGCCCAAAUUCAAUUAUCCUAUUGUAAAUACUUACAAUAAGUGAAGAC